UACGGAGGGUGCAAGCGUUGUCCGGAUUUAUUGGGUUUAAAGGGUGCGUAGGCGGCUUUUUAAGUCAGUGGUGAAAUUCUGCAGCUCAACUGUAAGGACUGCCAUUGAUACUGGGAAGCUUGAGUACAUACGAGGUAGGCGGAAUUGACGGUGUAGCGGUGAAAUGCAUAGAUAUCGUCAAGAACACCGAUUGCGAAGGCAGCUUACUAGAAUGUAACUGACGCUGAGGCACGAAAGUGCGGGGAUCAAACAGGAUUAGAUACCCUGGUAGUCCGCACUGUAAACGAUGAAGACUCGAUGUGUGCGAUAUACUGUACGCGUCCAAGUGAAAACGUUAAGUCUUCCACCUGGGGAGUACGCUCGCAAGAGUGAA
rnacentral:rRNA from 1 species